GACACGGUCCAAACUCCUACGGGAGGCAGCAGUGGGGAAUAUUGGUCAAUGGGCGAGAGCCUGAACCAGCCAAGUAGCGUGAAGGAUGACUGCCCUAUGGGUUGUAAACUUCUUUUAUAAAGGAAUAAAGUCGGGUAUGUAUACCCGUUUGCAUGUACUUUAUGAAUAAGGAUCGGCUAACUCCGUGCCAGCAGCCGCGGUAAUACGGAGGAUCCGAGCGUUAUCCGGAUUUAUUGGGUUUAAAGGGAGCGUAGAUGGAUGUUUAAGUCAGUUGUGAAAGUUUGCGGCUCAACCGUAAAAUUGCAGUUGAUACUGGAUAUCUUGAGUGCAGUUGAGGCAGGCGGAAUUCGUGGUGUAGCGGUGAAAUGCUUAGAUAUCACGAAGAACUCCGAUUGCGAAGGCAGCCUGCUAAGCUGCAACUGACAUUGAGGCUCGAAAGUGUGGGUAUCAAACAGGAUUAGAUACCCUGGUAGUCCACACGGUAAACGAUGAAUACUCGCUGUUUGCGAUAUACUGCAAGCGGCCAAGCGAAAGCGUUAAGUAUUCCACCUGGGGAGUACGCCGGCAACGGUGAAACUCAAAGGAAUUGACGGGGGCCCGCACAAGCGGAGGAACAUGUGGUUUAAUUCGAUGAUACGCGAGGAACCUUACCCGGGCUUAAAUUGCAGAUGAAUUACGGUGAAAGCCGUAAGCCGCAAGGCAUCUGUGAAGGUGCUGCAUGGUUGUCGUCAGCUCGUGCCGUGAGGUGUCGGCUUAAGUGCCAUAACGAGCGCAACCCUUGUUGUCAGUUACUAACAGGUUCCGCUGAGGACUCUGACAAGACUGCCAUCGUAAGAUGUGAGGAAGGUGGGGAUGACGUCAAAUCAGCACGGCCCUUACGUCCGGGGCUACACACGUGUUACAAUGGGGGGUACAGAGGGCCGCUACCACGCGAGUGGAUGCCAAUCCCCAAAACCUCUCUCAGUUCGGACUGGAGUCUGCAACCCGACUCCACGAAGCUGGAUUCGCUAGUAAUCGCGCAUCAGCCACGGCGCGGUGAAUACGUUCCCGGGCCUUGUACACACCGCCCGUCAAGCCAUGGGAGCCGGGGGUACCUGAAGUGCGUAACCGCGAGGAGCGCCCUAGGGUAAAACUGGUGACUGGGGCUAAGUCGUAACAAGGUAGCCGUACCGGAAGGUGCGGCUG
rnacentral:rRNA from 1 species